GGUCGCCAACGAGUGGCGGACGGGUGAGUAACACGUAGGUAACCUGCCCAGAAGCGGGGGACAACAUUUGGAAACAGAUGCUAAUACCGCAUAACARCGUUGUUCGCAUGAACAACGCUUAAAAGAUGGCUUCUCGCUAUCACUUCUGGAUGGACUGCGGUGCAUUAGCUUGUUGGUGGGGUAAUGGCCUACCAAGGCGAUGAUGCAUAGCCGAGUUGAGAGACUGAUCGGCCACAAUGGGACUGAGACACGGCCCAUACUCCUACGGGAGGCAGCAGUAGGGAAUCUUCCACAAUGGGCGCAAGCCUGAUGGAGCAACACCGCGUGAGUGAAGAAGGGUUUCGGCUCGUAAAGCUCUGUUGUUAAAGAAGAACACGUAUGAGAGUAACUGUUCAUACGUUGACGGUAUUUAACCAGAAAGUCACGGCUAACUACGUGCCAGCAGCCGCGGUAAUACGUAGGUGGCAAGCGUUAUCCGGAUUUAUUGGGCGUAAAGAGAGUGCAGGCGGUUUUCUAAGUCUGAUGUGAAAGCCUUCGGCUUAACCGGAGAAGUGCAUCGGAAACUGGAUAACUUGAGUGCAGAAGAGGGUAGUGGAACUCCAUGUGUAGCGGUGGAAUGCGUAGAUAUAUGGAAGAACACCAGUGGCGAAGGCGGCUACCUGGUCUGCAACUGACGCUGAGACUCGAAAGCAUGGGUAGCGAACAGGAUUAGAUACCCUGGUAGUCCAUGCCGUAAACGAUGAGUGCUAGGUGUUGGAGGGUUUCCGCCCUUCAGUGCCGGAGCUAACGCAUUAAGCACUCCGCCUGGGGAGUACGACCGCAAGGUUGAAACUCAAAGGAAUUGACGGGGGCCCGCACAAGCGGUGGAGCAUGUGGUUUAAUUCGAAGCUACGCGAAGAACCUUACCAGGUCUUGACAUCUUGCGCCAACCCUAGAGAUAGGGCGUUUCCUUCGGGAACGCAAUGACAGGUGGUGCAUGGUCGUCGU
rnacentral:rRNA from 2 species